rnacentral:lncRNA from 1 species
GUGGCAUUCGAGACCUUCUGGGUGGGAAGGAGGCAGCCAUGUGGUGAUCUGGGGAAGAGUGCUGCAAGCAGAAAGGCAAGUAAAAACAAAAGCCCUGAGGCAGAAAUGUGCUCCUUAUGCUUAAGAAACACCGUGAAGGCCAACGUGGUUGGAGCAAUGUGAGCAAGAAGAAUAGAGGGGCCUUGGGAACAUAGGUAGCUGAGUCCUCAUGGAUCAAGGCACCUUGACUUUAAGUGUCUGUUACACCAAAGGUUAUGGCAAACUGUGUCUGCAGCCCACAGUAAAAUCCAGUUUAAGGCUCUCCACACUGGAGUGCAGCUAUCCAGUUUUUCAGCCAUUUCCAAAAGGAAUUAUAUUGAUGUGUUAGUUGACAAGCCUACAAUGAAAAGAUAGAUGGGAAAAGAAGACCAUCAGACAGGUGGCUGGAUAUGUGGAGACAAGCACGAAGAAGUCCAGGCUCUGUCACGACGUUGCUGACUGGCUUCUGUCACAUUUUCAGGCAUCUUUUAGCUAGAGGUGCGCGUGUGACACCACAUGGACUGUGAGAAAUAGUCAAGUUCAGCCUAGUGACGCUUCUGGCAAAGCUUGUUUUCCUGAUUUUUAAAAAAGGAGUUGGGGGAGUGCCAUGCCUUUUGUCCUUCCUCCCUCCUCCUGCCUGGAACAUGGAUGUGAGACCAGGAAGUACAGCAGCCAUCUUGUGACCAUGAGGACUAAAGGCCUGCGCUGAGGAUGGUACAGUAAAAUGAAAGAAGCAGCCUGGAUGCCUGAUGAGCAGCUGUGCCAGCCCCAGGGUCAUGCAAAUCAGUGUCAAUCAUUGUGGUUCUGGUUUUCUCCUAUUUGUAGCCAAAUAAAUUCCUUACUGAUAUAGGCAGGGUCCUUGUUGGUUCCAAAAAAAAGUGGAUUCACAGAAAUAUAACUGAGAGAACCAUGAAUUUCUAAAGAAGUCCUAGAAAUAGAUCAGUCAGAGAAGUUGUCCAUUUCAGGCAGGGGUUUCUACUGUAAGUUGCUUGGAUGGAAAAUAAAUCAGUGUUAAGGAGGUGAGAAUGCCAUCACUUGAAUUGUAUGACUAUAUCUUAUUAAAUCUCAGAUGCCAUCAGUUGUAAGGUAUAGCAUUAUUUUACAUAUCACUAUGAGAGAAGAAAAUGCUCUCAAGACAUAUCACUGAUUGUAAGAUGCAUCCACCUUGAUUUCAGAGAUUUUAAAAUGUGAAAAAAGGGAGGGACAUCUUAGGAUCAGUGAAAUAUGGCACAUAUUUAUUUGCUUCCUUGAUUCCUGCCUGCUGUGCUCAUUAGACCAGAGACACUGUCUGCCAUGCUCUCUGCCAAGUCCUCCAUACCUAGAAUUGGGCCUGGCAUAGAGUGGGGUCUAUAAAUAUUGGUUAAUUAAUAAGUUAACUAAUAAGUUCUAGUCCUUGCUUUUCCAAUAACUUCCCAUGCUACCCUGGCUGGAGAAAGCAUUUCCCUUUCUCUGUACCUCAUUUCUCCAUAAUCUAGUUCAACUGACCCUCACCAGAACUGAAGAAACAAAAAGCCCCAAAUACAUGCAAAGCGGACCUACACUCUGCAUCACCAUGGUGACGCCUCCCAGGGUCCCAGAGGGCAGGGAGGCCUCAUCUUCCACCAUCCCUAGAAAUCUCUCUUUCCCCAGAGCCCAACUCCUUCUAAAGCUCUGUGGUUAACCCUUUCCAGGCAAGCCUUUUCCAACACUCUGUUAGGGUUACUAAAUGUGCUCCCUACAAAUGGACUAGGGCCAAGGAAUUAUGCAAGAUCCUUCAAGCAAAGAGAUGGUAUUUUGUAACUUCCCUGAGUUUCUCCAGGAAGAUGAAAUGCACAACAUAUUUUAGAAUAAUAUCAACCUACAUAUGUCAGAGAGGUAGUCUUGUCUGACCAAAGCCCUUGAGCUGGUGAGGGGCGGGGUUCCAGGUGCCCCUUCUGCUGCACUAGCAUUGUAUUCAGAAGUAAUAAAGAUGAUGGCUUUCAUGU